rnacentral:ncRNA from 2 species
CUCUUAUCGAGAGAGGUGGAGGGAUUUGGCCCAAUGAAGCCUCGGCAACCAAUAGAAUAGAUGCCAAUAGUAUCUAAAAGAUAAAGG